CAUCGGGUAGUUUAAGUAAAAUAUUAAUUUUGGGGAUUAAUGAUAAGUUUCCUUUCUGUUGA
rnacentral:tRNA from 1 species